GGGUGCGAGCGUUAAUCGGAAUUACUGGGCGUAAAGCGUGCGCAGGCGGUUUUGUAAGACAGGCGUGAAAUCCCCGAGCUUAACUUGGGAAUGGCGCUUGUGACUGCAAGGCUAGAGUAUGUCAGAGGGGGGUAGAAUUCCACGUGUAGCAGUGAAAUGCGUAGAGAUGUGGAGGAAUACCGAUGGCGAAGGCAGCCCCCUGGGACGUCACUGACGCUCAUGCACGAAAGCGUGGGGAGCAA
rnacentral:rRNA from 1 species